UCAAGUUAUUAAGGGUGCAGGGCGGAUGCCUUGGCACUAGGAGCCGAUGAAGGACGUGAUAAGCUGCGAUAAGCUUCGGGGAGUUGCACGUAAACUUUGAUCCGAAGAUUUCCGAAUGAGGAAACUCACUUAGAGUAAUGUCUAAGUAUCAUUAAGUGAAUACAUAGCUUAAUGAGGGGAACUCAGGGAACUGAAACAUCUAAGUACCUGAAGGAAGAGAAAGAAAUUCGAUUCCGUAAGUAGCGGCGAGCGAACGCGGAUUAGCCCAAACCAAUAAAGUUUUCUUUAUUGGGGUUGCGGACAUAUCAUAACGAAGAGGUAUCGUAAUUGAAGAGGUUUGGAAAGACCCACCACAGAAGGUAAUAGUCCUGUAUGUUAAACGAGAAGACUUCAGAUAUGAUCCAGAGUACCACGGGACACGUGAAACCCUGUGGGAAGCAGGAGGGACCACCCUCCAAGGCUAAAUACUACCUAGUGACCGAUAGCGUAUAGUACCGUGAGGGAAAGGUGAAAAGAACCCCGGGAGGGGAGUGAAAUAGAACCUGAAACCCUGCACUUACAAGCUGUGGAAGCACAUUUCUUGAGUGACCGCGUACUUUUUGUAGAACGGGCCAACGAGUUACGUUAAGUAGCAAGGUUAAGCACUUAAGGUGUGGAGCCGUAGCGAAAGCGAGUUUUAACUGAGCGUUCAGUUACUUGUCGUAGACCCGAAACCGGGCGACCUACCCAUGAGCAGGAUGAAGCGAAAGUAAAAUUUCGUGGAGGUCCGAACCCACGAGCGUUGAAAAGCUCGGGGAUGACUUGUGGGUAGCGGUGAAAUUCCAAUCGAGCCCGGAGAUAGCUGGUUCUCCCCGAAAUAGCUUUAGGGCUAGCCUCAAGGUGAGAGAUACGGAGGUAGAGCACUGAAUGUCCUAGGGGGUAUUGCACCUACCGAAGACUAUCAAACUCCGAAUGCCGUCAUCUUAUACUUGGGAGUCAGACUGUGGGUGAUAAGAUUCAUAGUCGAAAGGGCAACAGCCCAGAUCGUCAGCUAAGGUCCCUAAAUGUAAGUUAAGUGGUAAAGGAUGUGGGAUUGCACAGACAACCAGGAUGUUGGCUUAGAAGCAGCCACUCAUUCAAAGAGUGCGUAAUAGCUCACUGGUCGAGUGAUCCUGCGCCGAAGAUUUCCGGGGCUAAAACUUACUACCGAAGCUACGGCAUCAGUAAUGAUGGGUAGGGGAGCUUCCCAUACGGGUUGAAGCAUGACCGUAAGGACAUGUGGACAGUAUGGGAGUGAGAAUGUUGGCAUGAGUAGCGAGAUGUGGGUGAGAAUCCCACAGGCCGUAAACCCAAGGUUUCCAGGGGAAGGUUCGUCCGCCCUGGGUUAGUCGGGACCUAAGCUGAGGCCGAAAGGCGUAGGUGAUGGACAACAGGUUGAUAUUCCUGUACUACCGAUAACCGUUUGAGAGAAGGGAUGACACAGUAGGAUAAGCUAAGCACACUGUUGGUUAUGUGUGCCCAAGCAUUGAGGCAGUCAAAGUAGGCAAAUCCGCUUUGAUAAUGCUGGGAUGUGAUGGGGAGCGAAAUUUAGUAGCGAAGUAGCUGAUUUCACACUGUCAAGAAAAGUCUCUAUCGAGGUUAAAGGUACCCGUACCGCAAACCGACACAGGUGGGUGAGGAGAGUAUCCUAAGGCCAGCGAGAGAACUGUUGUUAAGGAACUCGGCAAAAUGACCCCGUAACUUAGGGAUAAGGGGUGCCACCAUCAGGUGGCCGCAGAGAAUAGGCCCAAGCGACUGUUUACCAAAAACAUAGGUUUCUGCUAAGUCGCAAGACGAUGUAUAGGAGCUGACGCCUGCCCGGUGCUGGAAGGUUAAGGGGAUCUGUUAGAGCAAUCGAAGCAGUGAACUUAAGCCCCAGUAAACGGCGGCCGUAACUAUAACGGUCCUAAGGUAGCGAAAUUCCUUGUCGGGUAAGUUCCGACCCGCACGAAAGGCGUAACGAUUUGGGCACUGUCUCAACAACAGACUCGGUGAAAUUGUAAUUCCGGUGAAGAUGCCGGAUACCUGCGACAGGACGGAAAGACCCCAUGGAGCUUUACUGUAGCUUGACAUUGGGUCUUGGUACUACAUGUACAGGAUAGGUGGGAGGCUUUGAAACCAGGACGCCAGUUUUGGCGGAGCCAUCCUUGGGAUACCACCCUUGUAGUACUGGGACUCUAACCAUAGGCCAUGAAUCUGGUCUUGGGACACUGUCAGGUGGGCAGUUUGACUGGGGCGGUCGCCUCCCAAAAGGUAACGGAGGCGCUCAAAGGUUCUCUCAGUACGGUCGGAAAUCGUACGUAGAGUGUAAAGGCAAAAGAGAGCUUGAUUGCAAGACAUACAGGUCGAGCAAGGAUGAAAAUCGGACUUAGUGAUCCGGUGGUUCUGCGUGGAAGGGCCAUCGCUCAACGGAUAAAAGCUACCCUGGGGAUAACAGGCUUAUCUCCCCCAAGAGUCCACAUCGACGGGGAGGUUUGGCACCUCGAUGUCGGCUCAUCACAUCCUGGGGCUGUAGUAGGUCCCAAGGGUUGGGCUGUUCGCCCAUUAAAGUGGUACGCGAGCUGGGUUCAGAACGUCGUGAGACAGUUCGGUCCCUAUCCGUCGCAGGCGUAGGAAAUUUGAGAAGACCUGUCCUUAGUACGAGAGGACCGGGAUGGACGUACCUCUGGUGUACCAGUUGUUCUGCCAAGGGCAUGGCUGGGUAGCUAUGUACGGAAUGGAUAAGCGCUGAAAGCAUCUAAGCGCGAAGCCAACUUCAAGAUAAGAUUUCCCACCGCAAGGGUAAGACCCCAGAAAGACUAUCUGGUUGAUAGGUCGAAGGUGUAAGUGCAGCAAUGUAUUUAGCUUAUCGAUACUAAUAGGUCGAGGACUUGACCAA
rnacentral:rRNA from 1 species